GUUGGGCACUGAGCUACUUAAGUUCAUUUUAAAAAUGAAAUUAAUAAAUCUGCCUUUAAUGACUGGUUUUUGUUUUUCCCUGGUAGGAUACUCCAGCUCUCUGUGCUUCAGUUGCCACCUCCCUGGCAUUUUGGAUUUUCUUGCCUAGUGGAAGCAGCAGUGAGGCUCUAGUUGAAGUGAAAGGAGCUCAUCUCUGCACUUUCUCCAGGAGGUGGGCAGAUGAGGAGUGGUUAUUUGGGUGCUGGGGAAGUCCCCUGUGUGCAGACCCAGAAGAGCCCCUGUUGUCAUCCAGAGAGAUGUUUAACAUGCUCCAGCUUCAGAACAAGUCACUCUGCUUUCUGAUGUCUCUGUCGGUGCCAUGGAGCCCAAAGGAACCAGUAAACAGAAGAGGAAGAUUGCAAACCUGUUGAUCUCUGCAUUCAGAUGAAGAGAGGAAACCAAAAGGAAAGAGAGAAUACAAU